rnacentral:rRNA from 1 species
AUUGAACGCUGGCGGCAGGCCUAACACAUGCAAGUCGAACGAGUGGCGGACGGGUGAGUAAUGUCUGGGAAACUGCCUGAUGGAGGGGGAUAACUACUGGAAACGGUAGCUAAUACCGCAUACCAUCAGAUGUGCCCAGAUGGGAUUAGCUAGUUGGUGGGGUAACGGCUCACCAAGGCGACGAUCCCUAGCUGGUCUGAGAGGAUGACCAGCGACACGGGAACUGAGAAACGGCACAGACGCCGAGGGGAGGCAGCAGUGGGGAAUAUUCAACAAUGGGCGCAAGCCUGAUGCAGCAAUGCGGCGGGUAGGAAGAAGGUCUUCGGUUUGGAAAGUACUGUCAGCGGGGAGGCGUUACCCGCAGAAGAAGCACCGGCUAACUCCGUGCCAGCAGCCGCGGUAAUUC